GUCCUCUUGAUUAUAUAUGAGGUCUGACCUGCCCAGUGAAAUUUUUAAACGGCCGCGGUAUUUUGACCGUGCAAAGGUAGCAUAAUCAUUAGUCUUUUAAUAGGAGGCUGGUAUGAAGGGUUUGACGAAUUGUUAGCUGUCUCAUUCAAUUUGUAAUUAAAAUUUAACUUUUCAGUUAAAAGGCUGAAAUAAAUUUGGAAGACGAGAAGACCCUAUAGAGCUUUAUAAAUAAAGGUUUUAUUUAAAUUUUCGUUUGAUUAUAUUUAUUUAUAAUUUUAUUUAUUUUGUUGGGGUGACAAAAAUAUAUGUAUAACUUUUUUAUUUACAUGACAUUAAUUUAUGAUUAUUAGAUCCAUUUUUAAUGAUUGUUAGAUUAAGUUACC
rnacentral:rRNA from 2 species